rnacentral:tRNA from 1 species
AGGAUUAUAGCUCAGUGGUAGAGUGUGUGCUUAGCAUACAUGAAGUCCUGGGUUCAAUCCCAGUACCUCUG